rnacentral:rRNA from 1 species
GUGGGGAAUAUUGGACAAUGGGGGGAACCCUGAUCCAGCCAUGCCGCGUGUGUGAAGAAGGCCUUUUGGUUGUAAAGCACUUUAAGUUGGGAGGAAGGGCAGUAAGUUAAUACCUUGCUGUUUUGACGUUACCGACAGAAUAAGCACCGGCUAACUUCGUGCCAGCAGCCGCGGUAAUACGAAGGGUGCAAGCGUUAAUCGGAAUUACUGGGCGUAAAGCGCGCGUAGGUGGUUUUGUAAGUUGGAGGUGAAAUCCCCGGGCUCAACCUGGGAACUGCCUCCAAAACUGCAUGACUAGAGUACGGUAGAGGGUAGUGGAAUUUCCUGUGUAGCGGUGAAAUGCGUAGAUAUAGGAAGGAACACCAGUGGCGAAGGCGACUACCUGGACUGAUACUGACACUGAGGUGCGAAAGCGUGGGGAGCAAACAGGAUUAGAUACCCCGGUAGUCC